CAGGAAUGAGGCAGUAGCCUCAUUCCUUCUCUGCAAGUUGAAAAAAAAAAAAAAGAGAACAGGGAGGGAGUUCUCUUAAGCACUUUUAUACAAAAUUUGCGAUCUAUGAAGAUCCAACGGUCGGAUCUUCAAUCCGUUUUCGGAAACGUGAUCUUUGCACUCGGAUCUACGUUCUUACCGAUUGUUUUAAAGUAUUUGAGCUUAUUGGAGCUUACUUGAGGCUACCCAAACUUUGGGUCGAAGUUUGGUGAAUUUGGCGACACUUUGUGGAUUGAGCCUAGGACUUGUUAGUGUUGGUGUGCAAGCAGUCAGGUACACCUGACUUAGAGGAGGACCCCGUAGCUGCGUAUUUGGGAUAUUACGAUUGAAGCACACCGCGACAGUUGUAUUGAGCUGGACUAUGGAGUUCACUCUUUGGGCAUGAAGCCCAACAUAUGGGCAUCCCACUAGUAUCGUCAAAACCAAAAAGGUUUCUAGGUAGGAGGACGGGGAGAACAAUAAUUGGAGGAUUGCAACAUGUUGACGACUUUAACAUUGAAUCAGAAACAAGUCGACAUGCAGCCACUCAGUAGGAAUGUGACAGUUUAUUUUUUGUGAAAGAAUAUGUGGGGUUUGUAACCAUUUUUUUUGUGAAAGUUUCUUUGUCAAGGAACAAAAUGUCAAAUAUUAUAAUGCAUAUGUGAUAGUUUUUUGUGGAAUCCUGUUUGUAACCCAUAUUUCUCAAUAGUUACC